UCGAGGAUCUUCGGCAAUGGGCGCAAGCCUGACCGAGCGACGCCGCGUGCGGGAUGAAGGCCUUCGGGUUGUAAACCGCUGUCGAGGGGGAGAAAAGCGCAAGCUUGAUCUAUCCCUGGAGGAAGCACGGGCUAAGUUCGUGCCAGCAGCCGCGGUAAGACGAACCGUGCAAACGUUGUUCGGAAUCACUGGGCUUAAAGGGCGCGUAGGCGGUUCGCCAAGUCUGGGGUGAAAUCUUUCGGCUCAACCGGAAAAUUGCCUGGGAUACUGGCGGGCUGGAGGGGGGUAGGGGUAGCGGGAACUUCCAGUGGAGCGGUGAAAUGCGUUGAUAUUGGAAGGAACGCCGGUGGCGAAAGCGCGUUACUGGACCUCUUCUGACGCUGAUGCGCGAAAGCUAGGGGAGCAAACGGGAUUAGAUACCCCCGUAGUCC
rnacentral:rRNA from 1 species